rnacentral:rRNA from 1 species
UUCGUGUCUUUGAGACGUGAGUAACGCAGCUAACGCACUAAGUUGACCGCCUGGGGAGUACGGCCGCAAGGUUAAAACUCAAAUGAAUUGACGGGGGCCCGCACAAGCGGUGGAGCAUGUGGUUUAAUUCGAUGCAACGCGAAGAACCUUACCAUCCCUUGACAUCCAGAGAAUUUUCUAGAGAUAGAUUAGUGCCUUCGGGAACUCUGAGACAGGUGCUGCAUGGCUGUCGUCAGCUCGUGUUGUGAGAUGUUGGGUUAAGUCCCGCAACGAGCGCAACCCUUAUCCUUAGUUGCCAGCACUAAGGUGGGAACUCUAGGGAGACUGCCGGUGAUAAACCGGAGGAAGGUGGGGACGACGUCAAGUCAUCAUGGCCCUUACGGGAUGGGCUACACACGUGCUACAAUGGCGCACACAAAGGGCAGCAAGCGCGCGAGUGCAAGCGAAUCUCAAAAAGUGCGUCGUAGUCCGGAUUGGAGUCUGCAACUCGACUCCAUGAAGUCGGAAUCGCUAGUAAUCGUGGAUCAGAAUGCCACGGUGAAUACGUUCCCGGGCCUUGUACACACCGCCCGUCACACCAUGGGAGUGGGCUGCACCAGAAGUAGAUAGCUUAACCUUCGGGAGGGCGUUUACCACGGUGUGGUUCAUGACUGGGGUG